UAGUUUUAUUGAUUAAAGUAUUGUCUAAGUAAUCAUUUCAAAUUAUGAGAGAGGUGGCAUUUUAGUCCUCAAAGUUUAAUUUGUUGCAAGUUUUCACGCAAACUUUCAGAACUAUUACAAUCGAGUCUAACAAUUCAAUUUAUUAAUUAAAUAUUGACGCAUUACUGAUGUCAAAAUGAUGUAACAUCUUAUUUAUUGGUGUAUUAUCACUUCUACGUGAGCGAUAUAUCAGUAUUUAGUUAACUAAAUCGGGUUAUAGAACUUAAUUGCAAUAAUUCUGAAUAUUUUAGUUAAAAAUUUUAAUAAUUUAAAAUUUGAAAACCAAAAUGUCAUCUACCACAUAGUUU
rnacentral:lncRNA from 1 species